UUUUUAUUCAUAACUAUAUUUAUUACAUUAUCAUACCAUUUCACUGAACAGUGAAGUUCAUUGGAGUGAAAUCUGAUUACCUGCAUUUUAAAAACUCACCCCCCCCAACUAUUUUUGAUUUUUUUUCACAGGUAUUUUAUAGGCAUAUUUCAACAUUUUCCUUCCUAAUCCACGAGUAAAGGGAGAUGUUGGGAUUUGAUCCAAAAGAUCUUACAACCAAUUUUGUGGUGAAACAGAGAAAAACCGUGAGCAGCCAACUCACUGGAAAACUGUAUGUUAAACGCAGAGAAGCACAAAGUGUUUGAUGCUGUUAGAGUUCAAAAUAACAAGGAAAAAUGAUGGGGAAUUUACCUGCCUUGGAACAAAGUAUGACCCCAUCCCAUACUCUCAGCUCCCGCUCCCCUUCCAGCGUGGCUGUGACCCGGGCUGGCCGUACCGCUCGGUGUCUCUGGACCUCACAGCAUAUCUACGUGGCUGCUGCACCCGGGUCCCCAGUACGUCCUGCUCUGGCCGCCUUCCCCGAGCGGUCCCAUGUGCACCAAGCGGGUACUACAGACCACAGGGGCCUCUUGGCUGCAGAGCUGGGUGAUGGGAGACAACAAAGCAAUGCCCAGGAUGCAGCUGUUCAAGCCAGCCUCGCCUCACGGAGCAUUUCUUUCUCACCUGUCCAUGGUUCUCUCUGUGUGUCUGUGCUCCUUUUUAAACUGCAGGGCUGGGAGGCCUGGCCAUUCCACCGGGACUGCUCACCCUGGGAGCACCAGUCUCUACCUUGGGAUUAAGCAAGCUGCCACCAGAAUAAAAGCAGGGUGGAGCUGCUCCCACUCCAAGGCAAGAGCCUGCAAGGCCCAUCCUUUGGGGACUCGUCUUUUGUGUGAAGGCACAUUGUCUAGCAGAGGAAGAGACCCGUCCGAGCCUGGCGUUCGCUAAACGCCUCUGCGUGGUGGGAGACGAGUCUAGGAAGAAAUAUCUUCAAUCCACCGGUGAGGCAGCCAGGACUCAGUACAAGGAGGACUGGACACAGAUGAAGGUUAAGAUGGGCACAGCUCGAGGUGGCCCAUAGCCUGGGGUUCAUCUCAGAAGGAGGGACUUCAUUUGGUCACAGAGAAGACGUGGCUUCCCUGCAAGGAGCAGGAAAGAUAAUCCACAGCCUCUCGGGGAGGCUUAAACUUGACUGACCAUAGGCCAGCCAGCCUGUGCAGCAGGGCAGAGCAGCUCCGAACCAAAUACACCCAGACACCCGUGACACACAAGACAACAGACAAGGGGACACAACAGGGAGACAAAACUCCGGGCCAGAAGAGUGGCCGCAAGGACCGAGAGAAUGCGGAACAAGAUGACCCAGGUGAGAAUGAUGGCAAGCUGAUAAGGCUGAGACAACCCUGAAGAAAGAAGAUGCUGACACGAUGACUUAUCCCGAGAAGCGCAAAUACGGAUGCCCGAGAAUCCUACGGCCACAAUUCUCUACCUGUCCUUGCAUUCGGACAAGUCCUAGCCCGCUACAAUGGAUCCUUGCGGCGCACGGCUGUGGACACAGCUCAGAACAAGACCUCAAAAGACACCCGAUCGGACGCUUAAAAACAGAGAUGGGAUUCCAAGGCCUCUGAGAGGUCCCGAGGCACAGCUCUGACAGUGUCAGCGCCAGGACGAGGAACCCAGAGAUCAGAGAUGUUAAGAGUGACGCCAGGGUUUCCUGUAACCUCCUGGAAGGGCUGAGGCAAGACACAUACAACACGAGGUGCACAAAAGGCACGACAGACAAGUGACCCGACACAUCCCCGGACCGCUCUGCCCUGUGCACCUCAGCAUUGGGAGCCAAAGUGAGGCUUUCCCUUGAGGUGGCCUAAAGGGCCACUUCUUGAACCUCGCUACGUCCAAAGCAGACUCAAAACUUCCUGGCCACGAGUCCCAGCCCGGCACCCCGCUUCCAUCCCCCCUCUGCGGAUCGUAGCCUUUGAGUUAGCUCUCGGACGUCCGGGGGGUGAGAGUCCCCAAGGGCUGCCAAGGAAUGCCGCCUCGCCGUCUGCCGAGUUCCUGCCAUCGCCAUGCUGUUGCCUCCUUGUCAGCUACAAUAAAGAAAACCAAAUAUCAAUGUGAGAUCUUCUCAGCA